CUUUAUCUUUUCUAUCUUGGAAUUUGCUUAUAUAAACCCUCUAGCCUAGCCUAGAUCCGUUACCUUUUCUCCAAUUCCUGUCAUUCACCUAUUUCACUGUGUAAGACACCUCACUAGUCACCAGUGAUACAGAGAUGACUUAAGCAGUUUCUGCUCUUAAGGCCUUACCGUUUUGUCUGUAAGAUACACAACUAAGUGUAAAUGAUAAGUACAAGUGACAAUGAAUGUUUAAUGCUUUAUGCUUAGUGGUAUUUGUUGGAUGAGCAGCAUUUUGACCCUUGGAGAAGGAAAAUUGGCUGUGUCAUUCCAGGUGGAGUACCUGACAGAGAACUAAGAAGUUAUCUAGUAUAAAAGACCUCAUGCACCACCUCGUACAUAAACUUUUUCCAGAUGAGGCUAAAUGUGCAUGCUUCAUAACCAUAAUUCUUAUUUUUCUUUAGUAAAUAUUUUUCUACUUAUAACACUGCAUUGUUUCAAACUGUUUACUUAUUUGUAAAGCUUGUCUCUUGAUCAAAUUUGUCUUGACCAAAUAAGUUUCCUGAGGGCUGGAAUUAUGCCUUAAUUAUAUCUAAGUAUGUAACAUUGAAUCCUUUGUAUAAUGAAAGCAUCAAUAGAUACUUUUGAAUUGAUAAAUAAAAAGCACAGUUUCAAAUGGUAUCACUUUGCCUCUGAUGUGAUAUUAUUAACCUUUUCAUUUGUUUCAAUAAAUGCAUUCUUUUUUUUUCUUUGCCUAUACAUAAUGUGGUUUUCAAGUACUUUUAUCACUUUAGUGUAUCAGAGAUAGAAUACUUAGAAAUGACAGAAAUUUGAUCUCUUUAACUUGUUUUAUACAUUAACCACAUGGGUCAUCUUGCCUUUUUACCCCAAAAAGUAGAUGUUUUAUGUUACAAAAUCAGUAUAUUUUAAAAAUUCAAAUAGUAAAAGUAUAUACAACUUCCCACUCUACCAAUCAUGGAUCUCUCUUCCCAUUCCUCCCCACACCACACACACCCACUUGACAAUUCUGCUUACAGAAAUAACCACUAUUGUCAGUUCCAUGUGCAGUUUUAGAGAUUUUUAGGUAGUGAAUUUUAAAAUACCAUAUUUAAAGGCAAAAAUGGAAUCAAACUACCUGUACUUUUUGGGCCUACCUUCUUUUAUUUGAUAGUAAGUAUCUGCCUAUGUGAAUAUAUAGAGGUCUUCCUGUUUUUAAUGUUUACAGAAUUUCAGUGUAUAAUUGAAGUGUUCCAUUUCCUAAUGGUGGAUAUUUAGGUUGUUUCUAUUUUCCCUCUGCACAUGCAUGGAGCAUGUGUGUGUGUACAUCUUUAUCUUCCUUAUCUAAAAUCCUAGAAAUGGAAUUGCAGUUAUUAAAGGGGAUAAGCAGUUUACUUUUUAAUAUCAAUUGUUAGAUUGUCUUUCAGGAAAGUUGUAUCAAUCUGCAAUCCUAUCAACAAAUUCGUGAUUGGCAACUUUGCAGAUAUGGAGGGUUACCAAUCAUUUUACUUUUUGACAAUCUGAAAAAUGAAAAUGUUCCAUUUUGCAAUUUAUAUUUGUUUGGUUAUUAGUGACUAUUUUUAUAUUUUUAUUGUCCAUGCAUUUGUUUCUUGUGAACUUAUUUUUAUGUCCUUUGAUCAUUCUUGUUGGAUUUCUUUUCCAUUUAUUACUCAUAUUAAGAGUUACAUAUUAAGGAUGAUAAGGUUUUAUUGUUAAGGAUGACACAUACUAAAGAUCGUAAUGUUUUUACUCUUAUUCAUGUUUAAACAAUUUUUGUAAUUUGUCAUUUAUAUUUUCACUUCAUUUGUUGUUCAGAAAUGUUUGUUUUUAUGUAAUCAAUCACUUUUGUCUGAGUUUUAUAAAACACUGUUCUUAUAAAGGCAUUUUUCAUUCCAAGUUUAUAAGAUAUUCAUGUUUCUUCUAGUAAUUUUAUCAUUUUACUUUUUACAUUUAAAAUUUUAGUCCCUCAGAAAUUGAAAUGUGGUUUGAUGCAGAAAGUUGUUUCUUGCCAAAAUAUGUUCCCAAACUAUUGAUUAGCCCAUACUGUAUUGAAGAGCUAUCUUAGCUUUUACUGUAUUCCUUAUACUAUAAAUGGUCCUGUUUAUCUUCUGUUGUACUUACAUAUUCUGAAACAGCACCAAGCUGUUUAUUACACUAACUUAAGCAGAAUUAUUUCAGGGCUCCUAAAAUUUCUCACCCUAAUCCUCAGGACUAACUGAUGGAUUUUACCUCCAUGAUAAUAGUAUGUGGCAUAAUAGGCUUUAAGAAAGGGAGGUUAUCUGGGUGGGUCUAACCUAAUCACUAAGCCCUUUAAAAUCAGUUUCCUCCAGCUGAUGGUAGAAGAGAGUGAGAGAUUCAAACAUGGGAAGAAUUUGAUGGAAGGGGUCAUAUGGCAAGGGCUUGAGGAGCUGACAACUAGUCUUGGCCAACAGCCAGCAGGAAGAUGGACCUCAGUACUACGUCCACAAGGAACUGAAAUCUGCCAAUGCCAAGAAUUAGUCCAGAAGCAGAUUUUUAUCCAGAUCCACAUGAGAGUUCAGCUGUAUUGUACAUUGUGACCUCCAAAGGUAAGCUCUGAUUCCUACCUUUAGAAAUUGAGAUAUUUUGUGAGGACAGUACAUAGUUCAGUUUUAAAAAAUAUUCUUUAGGCACUUGAAUAGUUAUUUUUUAAUUAGUAAAAGUGCUCUUUUAAAAUAGAACAAAAUUGAAAAGUAAUAGAUAAUUCUGCACAUUAUGUGACUUUUUGUGGUACUUCUACUGGACAAUUCAUGGAAAAGGCCAAUAAAUGUACAACUCAGAAUAUUAUUGGCUCUCCUUACUAAACAUAAAGAUGUUCAGAUAUUUGGUCUAAACUGUUUUCUCAGCCAAAUCUCUGCUUUGACAGCAGUAAGUAACUUCAUGGCACUGUUUUGUCUUCUCCUUCUUUCAAAUCAGUAUUGGUACACUGAAUCAACUUAAAGCCCAGUUGCUUUAUCUCAGACAUUUGAAUGCUAGACUUGGCCCUACUUAUUCAUAUUGAUUUGGUAACUUUUCCUGAAUAUGUUUGAAAAUUUUUAGUGAGGUAAAAAUUUAGUCAGUUAUAAAAUUGGAGUAAUUAAGGGGAAAAAAAAGCAGAAUCAACUAAAGUCCACAACCAGGAUUUCAGUAGCAAAUAAGCUGCAGUCUGUAUAGUUGUAGGUAAUUAGUUCCACCUUCAUUGACUGUUAGAAAAUGCUCUGGCACUUACUGACUCACAGAAAAACAAGGACACAUGAAAUACCUUGUCAAUUUUUGUCUUAGUAAACAUUUAGAAUUAGAAGCUAAAAGAGGCAUCAAAGAGGACGAUAAAUUAGCAUUUAAAAUGAUUAAUGCAUUAGUAAAAUGACCUACAAAUUUAUGAGAUUAUGAGCAAGAAAGAGCUAAAUACACAAUGUGUCUCAUAUGGGAGAGAAGUUCCUGCUAAUUCUGCAUCCCACUGUAAUUUGUUAUUGUCUAAUGUCUUUCAAUUGUGGUUGCCUAUAGACAAGAUCACCAACUACAGAAGACUCUUAUAAGCAUCAAACACACCAUAAUUUGUGAAUAUUUAUGCAGAUAUAUGAGUGAGCCUAAAAGAACACUAACUCUCUGAAAUGAAUGAUUAAACAAAAAUAUUUCAGUGACUAGUGUUCUAAGAUAAUUCACACCAAAUUUUUAUUUAUUACUUUUAAAUUUUACAUAUUAAAUGACAGUGAUUUAACUCCAUUGGAUGGAGUGUUUUUGAACAAUUUUACUGACCUCUCUAAGGUGUGUUUCUUUACCUAUGAAAUGAGAACACUGAAUUGGAAACUAGAUUAUCUAGAAGUUCCUUUCAGUUAGAGAAUCUUGAGUGCCAUUGAUACUGCUGUCUAUUGAAGGAAAGAACUGUGAAGAGUCUAAGAUUUUAUCCAACUUGCAAACUAAUAAGUUACUCUGCCACAACUUCAUGGAUGCUAGCUUAAGACAGAAAGACUCCUAAGUCAGAGACAAAGGACUUUAAUUAUUACUUACUGCACUUCAAUAAGCACCAUUAGUGCCAGUUCCCAUUGCACCCCAAGUCGUAUAGGAACAAUGCACAGCCCCAGGGAGCUACUCUGCAGUAAGGGAGUUUGUGUCACAGCUGAGAAACUCCAUGCUUAGGGAACCCCAGUGAUUUAUAUAAAAUGGACUGCAACCAACCUGCCCAAUCUUUGCCCCAGAAGAAGAGAUCUUUAUUACACUGGAAAGUAAACAAACCUGGUUUGUUGUCUUCUGCUCUAGGGGGUCACUGUUUUUAUUUCCUAAGGCUUUAACUAUCUAAACAUUAAAGUUAGUCUGGAACAAAAUCUGUGAGCACCUCUGUUCACAAGAUGUGCAGAAAUUCAAGAGGCUUGUGGAAUAUUGUCUCAGUAUCACCUCACCCAAAGGAGAAAGUCAGUUAACAUCCUCUAAAUAAUUCAUAUGUGUACUAAAUAUCACUACAGAUUAUUACAAUUUAUGCACAUGUACAUAAUGAUAUGUUCAUGCAUAAUUAGGCAGUCCAUUAUUUCAACUUUAAUAUCAAACUGUUAAUGCUUUUUUCAUUUAUAAGUUUCUUAUUAGAAAACUAUCUUCAAGUUACUUAUUGUUGAUAUAUUUUUUCUUUUUUUAAGCUAAUAUAUUCUCAUUGUAAAAUACACUAUUAACAUCUUGUUAGACUACACAGACACACACACACACACACAUAUAUAUAUAAUUUAUAUGUGUAUACACUCACACAUACUAGUGGAUAUCUGCUAAAUUUUUGUCUAAAAAAAUUGGUAUGAAUGUCUUAGAAUGCUAGGCACUGAAAGAUUUUUGUUUAAUCAUCUAUUUCAGAGAGCUAGUAUUCUUUCAGCCUCCCUGGCACAUAUGCAUAAAUUCACACAAAAUAUGAUGUAUUUGAUGCCUAUAAGAUCUCUUAGAAUCACCUCUUUUCUGUUGCAUGGAUUCACAUGGCAAAGUACAAUUAUGGGAUCCAGUCUUGGGUCCUUUUGUGACCUCAACUCAUGAAUUAUGUGUCCUACAAUAACCAAGUGAUUAAACAAAUGUCAGGGUGAGUGUUUAGAAUAGUUUUGAUCCUGUAGGAGAGAAAGUUUUAUUCUUUUCUGUUGGACCAUGUGACAAGCCAUGAGAAUGCACCUCAGAGACCUUCAAACCAGGGCGCUUGCUUGACUAUGAUCUCUAGUUGUUGUGCUCUGAAAUCCAUCACCACAUCUGCAUCAAAGCCAUGCUUCCUACGCUGCUCCCAGCCAAUGCUGGCAUGCAGCACAGAUAUGAAGGCAGACUCAUUCCUGGGAGAUACAGGACUCUUACAGUAACCAACUUUGACUUCACUCCCUAUUGGUCCUGCCUGGAAUUUUCUAUAGAUUACAUAACAGCCUAUAAUGCUUCCACCUUUCUUUUCCUAUUUCCCUCUGGGUCAGACUUAUACUGUGGUCCGACAGCUUACCUGUCUAUCCCAAUUCCUUUCCCAUUUUCUCCCACAAGUAUUUUCACUGAUAAAAUCUUUGCAUGUUUAAUCAUGUUUACAUGUCUGCUUUUCAGAGGACCUGACCAACAUAGGUCACUGGCUCUUAGUAGGAUCUAGAAGUUCUGGUGAGAUUAUUUUGGCUGUCAUGUUUCCCCAACAUGGAAACACAGAGGACAAUGCAGGCAGAGAGGUGAAGUCAAUGGAUAAUAUUUGUUGAAUCCCUAUAGUCAGUGAACUUGAAGCCAGAACCAUCUUGGGAUUCUAUAGUCCAAAAACCAUGAAAUCCCCUUCUUUUUUUACCACUUUCUUCUCCUCCAUAAGAACAAGAACUACUGUCCAUCUUCCUUCAUGAGAGUAGAAUCAGAAUUGAUCCAGAUUGCCUCUGAAUAAUACCCAGUGCUGGUACAGAGCUGGUAACAUAGUAGAUACGCCAUACAUAUUUGUUGAAUAAAUAAAAUUUAAAAACGUUUUAAUUCUCCCUUGUAACUUCUAACCACUUUAAGGCUGAAUUAUCACAGAAGUACAAAGGAUGUCCAUGGAACCACGUAUGCUUCCUCAGUCCAGGGGAUCCAGUGGAUAGAACCUUUGUUGUGUUCCCUUUCUAAUGCAGGCAAAGGGUCUGUACAAUCCACCCUUGGAAGAGAAGAAAAGCUCUAAUUUUGCUCUCUCUCAAGCUACAUGUCAACAACUCUUUUUUUUUUUUUUUUUUUUUUUUUUAAGAGCCACAUUCUCUUGUUCCCUUCAAUUAACAUUUCCACCUGAAUGGGCCCUGUUGGAGCAAACAAGGAUUUCCCACAAAAAAAUUAACUGUUUUUCCAUAAUACAACAUUUUAAUUUAGACUUAUUUGUUCCCAAACAAAUAAAACCUACCAAAAUUUACUAAAGCUAAAAACCAAACAAAUGGACUAACAAAAACAGCAUAAGAGUUGCUAUGAAAAUUCAAGGUGCCAUAGGAAUUCUGGGACCAGCAUGCAGUUAGACUUCAAGAAUAAAAGUUACUAGAAAGCAUCAAUUGUUUCUCUCAGUCUUUCAUAUGUAUUCCACACAGUCACUAUGCAAUUCCAAUCACAUGGAGAUUAACUCUUUGGCUCUCAGUACCAAUUGCAAAUUCCCAGGAGGGAGAAUACAGCCUGGCUUGGGGAUGGAUUCACUCCUGGUAUUACUAACAUGACUGCCUGGUAUCCAGAUUUUCAUUUAUGAAAGAGGAGUUAAAAGGCGAGAACAAUUCCCUCCAAAAGGAGUAAUUAUUAUUACCUGGAACACAUUCCAAAACAUGACUUCUAUCUCAGGUACCAAAUAAACAUUAUUUUCAUCCUAAUAAUCGUUUUGAAAUGAUGAAAUUUUCUUUUUGUGUUUUUUCUUUCUUCAUAAGAUUGUUGACUGAGUUAUACCUUCUAUUGAGUGAGAAAAGACACAAGACAGUAGUAGGAAUAUUAUAGAGUAAUAGAGAGUCAUCUUACACCAUGUAUAGCACCUGAAUCUACCAGCAAAUUGCAAGCUGAGGCUGUUGUGAAAUGUAUUAGUCAAGUAUGGAUGUAUGUUCUGUUUUUAUAACCUAAAGGUAAUAUGUAUAAGGGGUCAUACCUGGUGGGAGGACUGGGAGAGACAUUUAUAAAUUAACUUAGCUAUAGUUAUAGAAGUUUGUAUUUUAUAGUAUGAAAUACAUGGGUCAUCUAUUUCCUCCUUUAAAAUAUAAUAAAUUUUUUAAAAAUGGGAAGAAAGCUGUAUCAGUUUGUUUUUAUGCUGCUGAUAAAGACAUACUGAGACUGUGCAGUUUACAAAAUAAAGCUGUUUAUUGGACUUACAAUUCCAUAUGGCUAGGGAGGCCUCACAAUCAUGGUGGAAGGCAAGGAGGAGCAAGUCACAUCUUACAUGGAUGGCAGCAGGCAAAGAGAGAGCAAGUAGUGCAGGGAAACUCACUUUUAUAUAAACUUCAGAUCUCGUGAGACUUAUUCACUAUCAUGAGAACACCACAGGAAAGACCUGCCCCUAUGAUUCAGUUGCUUCCCACUGGGUCCCUCCCACAACAAGUGGGAAUUCAAGAUGAGAUUUGAGUGGGGACACAGCCAAACCAUAUCAGAAGCCAUUUACUUUUAAAUCACUCAUUAAUUAUUGCCAGCCCUGGGGCAGCAAAGUUUAUUCCAGCCUCUGAUUCAAUUGUUUAAAUUACCAUAGAUGCUAUAGCUGGGAGUACUGGCACACUAUUUAUUGCUCCAUGCAGUACAAACAAAUGAAAACAAAAAGAGUGCUGCCAAAGUGCCUGAGUUGUGGAUGUAGUCAGAUCUUUAAAAAAGCUGAGAGGCAUUGUUUUCUUCCAGCCCAGCAUUGGAGAUUGUGUACAUUUUAUGAAUCCACUGACAGCAAAAAAGAAAUAAUAUAUGCUCACAGGCUAAAUUUGGGUUCCUUUGUUAACGGUGUCUACAUUUUAGUUUGACUUAUUUUGAAAUUUGGAAAACCUGUGCUGCCAACACAUUUAAAAAAACAAAUGGUGAAAACUUCUCCUUAGUUUCCAAAAUGUCCAAAAUUAUUAACACUUCAAAGGCAGCCAGACUUGAAUUAGAGGGGACCUAAGCACAAAUUAUAAAAAAAAAGAAAAGAAAAGACUAAGACCAACUUUAUUUCUGACAUUUUUUUAAUGUCUUGAAAGUAAUUAUGUAGUAAGACUUACAUUUUAAAAUGUAUUUUAUAUAUAUUUUUUUCCUCAAUCUAUUAGUUGUAAGAACACCUAUAACAAGAGAAGAGAAGAGAAGAUUGGAGUGGUAAGUAAAAUAUCUUCACCUGCAUUCCAAAGUUAGCUUUGGAAUGUUCCCAAAUAGUUUAUAGACAAAAACAACUAAAGUCAUAAAACUGACUGCUCUAAAGAAAGAGGUUAUGGUUCAGACAUUAUGGUUCUACAAAUCAUAACUGAAGAGCUUCUGUCAAUUUUUCUUUAAGACAUCUUUAUAAUGCUGAUAAAAUCAAAGAGCCUUGCUUGUAAUUUAUCAUGUUUAUAUGUAUAGCUUUUAAAACUUAAAAAUUUAUUUUCUGUUAAUUUUGGUUUCAGGCUACAUAGCCUAUUUGAUGUUACAUGAUAAUGUACAUUAAAGCCUAGACUUAGGAGUCUCUGAUAACCCCAAGUUAUUUUGCGAGGUGAAUGUGAAUGUACCCUCACAUUAAAGAGCCAUUUGCUUUGUGAUUAUUAGAGAUUUUUGGUUUUUUGUUUGUCUUUUUCUGUUUCUUCUGAGCCAUUCAGUCAUGCAGUCAAUAUUUGUUGGAUGCCAAGUAUGUGAUAAACUCUGAUUCGCGCACUUAUUAAGGAAACAGAACAGAUGAUAUUGCUUGUCAAUGAAGUGCGUAUUUUAGAGGGAGGAGGAGAACAAAAAAGAAGCAAAUACAUAGUAUGCCAGAGGAUGAUAAAAUUUAAAGAAACAAAAAAAAAAAAAAAAAAAACAAAUGGCAAAAGAUAUGUCAGUAUGUUGAGGGUAACAAUUGCAAUUUUGAAAAGGCCUCACUAGAAGUUAAAAUCAGAGCAAAUACUUGAUGGAAAUAGAUUCUAGAGGAAGGGAAUUUCAAAGUGAGGACAUAGUCAAUGAAGAGGCUCGAAGACAUGAGGAGUGGCCUGGGUUUGAUAUUUCUGAAAGAUAACCAGAGAAAAGAUAAUUUUUGUCUAACUAUAGCAGAGAGAGCAAUACAAAGAAUGAGAUGUGAGCAGUUUAGAGCAAGUUGAUUUCAUUUUAUGUCUUUGUAUCUUUGACAUUAUUUAACUGUGUCCAAUAACCUAAAGAAACUACUUUGAAAGAAUUAUUGGUGUUUGCUUAAUAAUUAUUUGAUAGUCACUUAUAUCAAGGAUAACUGUCCUGUUUGACAGAUGAUGUAGUAGUUUCCAGAUGUUAAUUUUUGGUUAUCUUCCAGCAAGUUUAAAUUAUUGAUUCCAGGUGUGCUUUCUUUUUGUUCUUAGACAUAUAUAAUACUAAAAAAAUAUCUAAAAGUAUCUAGCCUGGAAGUCCAGUAUUGUAAUAAAAGCACAUGAGUUAGUAGCAUAAGGUAAGGAGUGUAUAGUUUAAAGUUCUCGUUACUGGUAAGCGGCAAGAGAAAUACACCUUAGAUGUAACUAGAAAUGAAAUUACUCUUCUAACAUUUACAUCUUCUUUAACCCAGUUCUGGCCCAUAGUCCUCAUAAGGGCAACCUUUGUAUCUACAACUAUUAUUUUCUAUUUUCUAGUCAUAUUGAUUUAAUCAGGGAUGAACAAUGACCCAAGCUGGAAUAACCAUGUUCUCUUUCCAAAAAUGUUGGGAUAUCAAAACAUAAACUGAAACACCACGUUAUAUUGCUUUUAGAAAUUGGAACUGUAAAUUUAUGGAGAGAAGAGGGAAUGUCAGGGAAAAAAAGCCAACCAGAUUCUUCUGUUGCAAGCUAAAAUUACUAAAAAGUAUAAUCUAGAACUUUGCAAGCAAGCAUCUUCUAUGGGAAAGUGAUAUACUAUAGCUUUUCACAAGGCUAGACUGUGAGGCCAGGCAAACAUAUACUUCAUUGAAGGCCUGGCAAUAUUGCUUGCCGUUGUGUUCCAUGAGCUCAUUUUUCUCUUUAUGAUAAACAUCCUAUUAACUUGGGCCUUUUUGAAGGGGUUCCAUUUCUUUCAACCUAAGAGCUCUACUACUGUUAAAAACUGGAU